ensembl:lncRNA
GUGUACCAGAGGCGGGCCCCCAGCCUCAUCACCAAUCAAGUGGCCCGCCGGGGACGCGAGGGCGGGCUAACGUGGGGCGCCAAGGCUUAAACGUGACGGGCGGGCGGGCGUAGGGAGGAGUCCUGGGCAGGGAGCGGUGAGUGACGGAGGAUGCUGUCCAAUAGCAGGAGGGGUUGGGCUGCCUGAGCCAAUAGGAAGUCCGUAAGGCGGGACUGGGCCUGCAGCAAGUUCGGUUGCGCGGAGACCGCAGCUGUUCCCUGUCAGUGGAGGCAGCGGCCGUAGAGGCGGUGGCGACGACUUGCGGCGGCAGCGAGGAGGUGAGUGCCGCCGGCGCUGUGCAUCUCCCGCUUCCCGCAGCGGGUCGGAGCGGGUGGGCGUGCGCCGAGCUGCCGCGGGGACGCUUAUGUAAGGGUCGCGCGCGCCAAGGCGGCUCGGGCCCACGAGUGACGGCUGGAGGAGACGGCGGCGGGCGGCGCGCGACGCGGCGCGACGUGCGCCGCCCCUCCCUCCCUCCGGCGGGGACUGCCUGCGCGAGCCCUCCGCCCAGCCCUGGGACCCUCCUCGCGGAUCCCUCGCCCCAGUCCUCCAGGCUCGCCAGCCGGCGAGCAUCUUCCCGCGCGGGCACCGCCCGGCCUUGUCCGCCCUGCGCCCAGGGGGGCCGCUGGCGGCCUUAUUCCUGCUCUCGGGCCCAUUUUGCAGAUGGAGAAGCUGAGGGCACGGAGCCCUCAGAUGCCUCGCGCGAGGUCCCUGAGGGUUCGAACCCAGGUCUGUCAGAGUCCGGAGCCCAAGUGUCCCCAUCAUACUGGAAGUUGCUCAGCUCUGAAGAAAGCCGCGGCGUGUAAGGAGAGGGUUUUCCGUGUUCCGAGUGCCUGCACUCUGCUUCCCGUAGGAUCCUCCUAGUAACCCCUGGGGGCAUUCUUAGAAUUCCACUUAGUUGCAGAGGUGGAGGCCUGGGCGCCCAGGAGCAGUGAUUAGGAGGAGGUGGGGCUGGGCUCAGUCCGUUAUUUCUACAGCUUUUAGCAGUUUACGAAGUGCAGUGAGUAGCAGCUGGGCCUGGGAAAUGCCCUCCUGGGCAUGCAGGCUGAAGCCCUGUCUGGGAGGACCUCCCAUACAGGUUUCUCCCAGCUUGUCCUGAAUUGUGUACUCUGAGUGAGUUCUUUCACUUCUGGGAUUCCUUUCCUCAUUUCACAAGUGCUGGGGCCAGGUCAGGUCCCUCGGCCCCUGGCACCUUUGAAAUUCUUACAAAUCUGAUUUUUAAGAGAGAAAGAGUAGGCCAGGAAUCCCCAUUCUUUAGCUGAGAAAACUGAGGCUCACAGAGGUGCCAAUAUUUGCCAGAUCAUAACCAGAGCCUCCCAGUCUUUACCAAGAGGUCAACCUUCCGCUUGCUCCCUCACCCCUGCACCCACAGCCUUGGCUUCCCUCACUCUUCCCUGCCUGUGUUGCAAACACUUACUCUGGGAUGGAUGUGCUCAGCAUUUCUAUCUGCUUGCAGCUACGGCUUUUCUGCUUGCCUGCUCUUCAUCUAAACUCUUGAACCCUUGCUCGCAUUCUCUGCACACUUGUCAUGUUCAGAGCCCUAGACUGGGUGCUGCAUGAACCAAGACCUGGGAGAUGAGGUGCCCCAGGACUGCCAACAAACUGGUUGGGGAGAGGAAAAGAAACAGAACGUAAGCAGCCAAUCAGCAUGCCGUAGAUGUUUGUGGAGAGUGGGUGUGGGCGAGGUAUGGCCCAAGGAGGACGUGGAGGAGGAAGUUUUGUAGAGGCUGGCACACCAGGGUGAGAGAUACCAAGGCCAGGAGAGGAUAACUGGACUGGCUGGGGCUGGAUGGGCAUGGAUUGGGAAGGCUCCAUGGAAGAGGUGAAUUGCGAGCCUGAAGAAGCAGUGAUGGAUUCGAGGCCAGGGUUUUACGAUGAAGUAGAGGUGAGUGUUAGUAACUAGAGCCUACCAGAGGAAGGCUGAGGAAGGUGGAAGGAGAAUGUGGAAGAAACAGGUUCCCAGUAGAGUGAGACGCUUGGUUGGUCCCCGAGCAGAGACCUCUGCAGGAGACGGAACAAGGCGAGGGCGCCCCUAAGUCAGAAGUGAGGUUGGGUCCAGAGGCGCCAGGGGCUUGGCUGGGCUCUGAGGGCCCAGAAGCAGCAGGCCUGAGCUACAGUUUGCUAUGUUUGUAUUCUGAUAAGCAACCUGUGAGCAGGCGUCCUUGUGAGAAGUUUCUUAGUGGCUGCUCGGCCUGUCCUGAAGGAAAGGGCUUUGCUCACUGUAGUUGCUCAAUAUCUGUUGUUUAAAUUAGGCAUCCAUUCAGACUUUCCCCAGCUUGCCCCAAGUCCCUCUGCACCUUAUGUCUCUCUCUUCUCUACUGAAGCCUGCUGCAGCUCGAUCGACUCACCGCCAGCAUCACCCCUCAGAGGGGUUUGCCGUGGGGUUGUGAGCCCAGUGGAUCCCUCCUGCCUUUGAUGCACCUGUACAGGCGGCUUGCCUUUUCUUCCUUUCUGGUCCGCUGCCUUAUUUUCUUCUGUCUCACUUCCAGAGCCCUGGGUGCUGUGCUAGGUGUCUGUCCUGACACUGGCGUGGGGAGUAGGGCUCUGCGGGACUGCAGACCGAGGUCUCGUUCAAGUUGCAGCCCAUUCUGGUGCUGCAAGAAUGAUUGUCACAAAUCGGAGGAUCUGGGCGGAGGGCCUGGGCAGCCCAGGGCCGUCCACAUCCCUCUCCAGCACCCUUCUGUGUGAGCGGACACCACGCACCUCGGCGUUGCCCUUGAGGAUAGAUGGGCCUUCUCUCUGGCUGCCUCCCAGGAGCACCUUACUCUUCUGAGCGGGGCCUCCUCCCGGUCCGGAAACGUAAGCAGCCAAUCAGCAUGCCGUAGAUGUUUGUGGAGAGUGGGUGUGGGCGAGGUAUGGCCCAAGGAGGACGUGGAGGAGGAAGUUUUGUAGAGGCUGGCACACCAGGGUGAGAGAUACCAAGGCCAGGAGAGGAUAACUGGACUGGCUGGGGGCUGGAUGGGCAUGGAUUGGGAAGGCUCCAUGGAAGAGGUGGUGCGAGCCUGAAGAAGCAGUGAUGGAUUCGAGCGGCCAGGGUUUUACGAUGAAGUAGAGGUGAGUGUUAGUAACUAGAGCCUACCAGAGGAAGGCUGAGGAAGGUGGAAGGAGAAUGUGGAAGAAACAGGUUCCCAGUAGAGUGAGACGCUUGGUUGGUCCCCGAGCAGAGACCUCUGCAGGAGACGGAACAAGGCGAGGGCGCCCUAAGUCAGAAGUGAGGUUGGGUCCAGAGGCGCCAGGGGCUUGGCUGGGCUCUGAGGGCCCAGAAGCAGCAGGCCUGAGCUACAGUUUGCUAUGUUUGUAUUCUGAUAAGCAACCUGUGAGCAGGCGUCCUUGUGAGAAGUUUCUUAGUGGCUGCUCGGCCUGUCCUGAAGGAAAGGGCUUUGCUCACUGUAGUUGCUCAAUAUCUGUUGUUUAAAUUAGGCAUCCAUUCAGACUUUCCCCAGCUUGCCCCAAGUCCCUCUGCACCUUAUGUCUCUCUCUUUCUCUACUGAAGCCUGCUGCAGCUCGAUCGACUCACCGCCAGCAUCACCCCUCAGAGGGGUUUGCCGUGGGGUUGUGAGCCCA